AGCUGCGCAGCGCCCUUCAGCAAAGCGGGAGGAGGAACAGAAGGGUCUCCGUUCCUCCUCCCGCUUCGCUGAAGGGGCGCUGCGCAGCU